GCUGACAAUUAGUGGAGAAGGGCCAGGCACACGACAGUUUGAACCACAUAAGCUACAGUUUGUGGAGUUACAUGUGAGCGACAUGCUAUGAGAAUUUUAAAUACUUUAGCAUUCGUAGCAUUUAACCAACUGACUUUUUUUUGCAAAUUAGGCUAAUUUACUAAAUUUAAAUAUUGAUUAGACUAGAUGGACGUUUGAACACCAAUUCUUUUGUGUCAAGGGUUUUAUUGCUAAAAUGUGCGUGUUUUGUACAUAAGUGUACAUAUAUGUGCUACAGCUUUGCAAAUUGUCAAAAAUGAAGGAUCUACCUACCUACUGAAGUAAGCGUACAUUUCGCCAAAUGCAAUGUUCCGUUAUGCUUGCUACAGUUAAACAAACAUGACUAUAAAUAGAAUCGUCUUUCACAUAUAACUUACUGAGUUAGCUUCCUUUAGAUAAGUAUGUACUGUACUAUUAACACCUCCGAAUGUUCCAGACGCAGCUUAUCUUGUUUCGAUUACGCUGAACAGUCUUGUUUUGAUAUGAGCAUAUGUUUCGCCUAAAUGCAUAAGCGACCACGCAGCAAAGGUCAUUAGAGGUGGGAAUCUUUGGGUACCUAACGAUUCGAUUACGAUUCAGAGGCUCCGAUUUGAUUAUAAAUCGAUUAUUGAUGUCACCCAACCACCCCCCCGCUUUUAAUGUUUUGUACAUUCGUUCCAAAAUAGUUUUUAAAAAAAAUCCUAUUAGGCUAAACCAAACUAAUAUUUCAGUAUCAAGUUAAUAGUUAAAAACAUUAAAUAGAAUACUCAAUUCCCCUUUCUGUAUCAGCAGCUUUAUACUACAUUCAAUUCAUUUAAUGAAGUGAAUCAACCGUUAAAGUUGAUAAAAUUGCUCCCGUUAUUCCAUAAAUUCCCUUCUGUCUACUUACAACAUGUCAGUUUGAAAACUGUUUCAUGAUUUAAAGAUAGAUUCAAGUCAAGAUUUUUCCGAUUUAGGAGUACUUUAGAUAAAAAGUGAAUUAGGUUCGCUACAACAGAGCCUUCUAGAGAAGUCUACUGCUUGAAAAUGGCGGCUGUUUACAACGCGGCAACUAAUAAACAGCAAGUCUGUCACUUUGCAUCUAGUUCUCUUUAUAUGGUCUACCACCGCCGCCGUCUGUCAUUUAGCAUCUAAUUCUACAUACAGUAUAUGUGAUAACUACUAUAGCCGUAUGUGGCCGUAUGUUUGUAGCAACUAGCAACUGGGCGUUGUUUGAACCAGCUGUCGGCCGCAGUCAGGUAUUUUUAUUUUUAUAUCUAGCGGCAUAAUUUGAACAUGAUAUUUGCUCUCGGUCCGUUCCUCAUUGCGUCCCGAAGACCGUGCUGACUGUGUUUUACUUCUGCUUUAACCGGUAUAAUUCAAUAAUCGGAAUUUGGAUGUUUGUGAAUCGUUCUCGAAUUUUCCAUGGCCGAAUCGCGAAUAAUCUAAGUAACGGAAAUUUCACACGCCUGUGAAGGUCAUGACGUUUUUCCCAGAACUCUGCAAGAAAAGAGCUAACCACAAAAUGUUCCAGACACGCUUUCUGAUUUGUAUAUAAGAAAGAUUGUACCAUCUACUCAUUGUGCAUUUUUCAUACAGCCCGUUCUGUGACUGAAUGUGCUCAGAAGCUUCUACAAUUAAACCUUAACUUACCUACCUAAUCAAUCAAUCAACAAAUCAAUCAAUCCUCCUCUUCUUCCAUCUGGAGGCUCCUGCUGCUUCUUCUUCACCAUUUAGCCAACGUGCUGUUUUCAUCAAACGUCAAGCCCUUUGUUUUGACUAAGCGUGACUUGAGUCGAGCAUUUUCAUCCUCAUUCUCAUGUGUGAGCGAUGAGGUUACGCAAGCCGCCUUCCGUGAGAGGAUGCGCUCAUGUAGCAACUGCACGUAGCAACCGUUGCCGGGGCGACGAGCGCCGGCGGCCGCUUUCGGAGCCCAAAGAUAACGUUGACCUGAGCGAGGUCAGCUUCUAACGCGAGUCGCUCCGACGGAUCCCAAAGCGCAAGACGGGUUUUGAGAUCAACCUUCGCGCCGCUUCAAACUCAUUACGAUGGCACAACUAUGGAUCGUCCUGCUCAGAGGAUAUAAAAUAUACCGUACGACCGUAAGUGCCUUCAAAUCAUCCGCUUCGAGCGGUUUUGCCGAGACGCGGGCGCCAUAAGGAAGCGUUCGCCGUCACCUGAAGCUCGGCGAUGGUGACCUUGUGGUAGAUUUUCUCUUCGUCUCGCCGUUGAUCCUGCGGCACGGUGAUGUUGGCCAGUUGCGUCUCAAAAUCCAGGAGCUGCCGCAUCUGGACCGGCGUGGAGGCCGGCGAGCCCCCUAGGAGGCUUCCUAGCUCCACCAUGUAGUCCAGGUAAUAGUCCCGGGAAGGCAGGAACAACCCCGCCUGGUCCACCUUGGAGCGAGGAGUGAAAAAGAAGCCGUCGUAAGAGCGCCUCGAUAGCGGUCGGACGACGGAGAGGAACCUGGAUGACGUUGCUAUUGGAGUUCUUGGGGUCGGUGCUGACACCGACGCUGAAGAAGGGCUGCGCGUGGUACGGCCCCGACACCGCCUUCAAGACUUCCAUGAAGUUGUCUUUGUCCCAAGGUCCCGUCAGGUUCCAUCCCCCGACCUGCGAGCGAAUCCCGCCUUGAAAGCAAGGGCGGACGUGACGGACGGACGGCUCUUACCUUGGCGAUGAGGUCGACGAGAGGUUGCGCUCCCAGCUCUUGGAUCUUCUGUGUGUUGAGGCAAGACAGAUAGUACGACUGCGUCUUCUUCUCGGCCUCGCUGGUGCCGUUGAAGGUGGCGUUCUCUGAAAGGGACUGAGUACGUCAAACCGACCAAAGGCCCGAGCUAUCGAAUAACUAACGGUGGAGCGAAAAAGCCACGACGGAAGAAAUGGGGACUCACCGAGCAGGUGUUUGAGGAGCGCUUGAUUCUGCUCCCAGAUGCUGUUAAAGGUGGACCAGCGCGAGCGUCCGUCCGGGAGCGGGUUCUUGCGCAUCCAGCCCCCGCAGGCGAACUGGUAGAAGUCUCGGCAGGGGUCGGCGCCGCGAUCCAUGGCCUCCACCAUCUGGCUGGCCACCGUCACGCACGCCUCGGAUAGGCACAGCCCGUCGGCGCCGCCGCCCGCUGCUCAGAGAAAGAGUUAUUUGCCCCGACGCGUCUCGCUAAGCUUUUCUUUCCGCUGCUAUGUUUGUUCGCUGGCUGCCACACCUCCCGCUUCAAAUGGAUUGACUAACUAAGGUCCGUUGGCAAAAAAAUGGAAAAUCUUCUUUAUAAAUUAGUGGGAAAUCUUAUCUCUUUCUAAGCCGACCUGGAUGGAAGGUGAUUCCGAGGAUCAGCAGGCAAACCAUCAGGGCCAGGAGACUGACAAAGAGCAGGGCGCACAGCAAAAGCUCCGUCCUGGUUCUUCGGCCCACCGGCCCGACUUCGCCGCUCUUCCUGAAGCCCACCUGAGGGGGACGUCAACCACAGCGUGAGAAUUCGGAUUGCGGUGGGGUGCGGCGCCCAAGCCGACCUCCAUUCUGUCGGGGGACGCGGACGCCUCGGCCGCAGCGUCCGACACUUCGUCCUCUUCCAGCGUGGCUCGUUUGUAGCUCGACAUCUGCGGGUCACAUAAGAAGCCUGAUUCAAGUGCAAAUGAAUCACAAUCAUUACAGGAACCCGUUGGAGGAAUAGAAAAAGCAAUCCGAGCUCCUUUGUGAAAAACGUGUUAAACCCAAAGUGUAGACAGUCAUGUAUGCACCCUCCCUUAAUAGUGUGACGAUACAGCGAUAUACCAUAACUAGAGUUGUUCGAUAUUGACAUUUUCACCAAUAUCCUGAUGUGGUCCGACAAAGAUAUCAAACCGAUACGCAGUGGUAUGAAAAGGUAACUGAAACUUUUGGAAUUUGUCACAUUUCUGCAUAAAUUCACCAUCAAAUGUGAUCUAAUCUUUGUCAAAAUGACACAGUGUCUGCCUUAACUAAUACUACCCAAACAUUUAUAGGUUUUCAUAUUUUAAUCAGGAUAGCAUGCAAACAAUGACAGAAAGAGGAAUAAGAAGUAAACCCUCUGCCUAAGGAGACUUAAAGAGCAAUUGAAACCAAUUUUUACCAAACAUUUGAAGUCAGGUGUGUGCCCAAUCACUGAUGAGCAGUUUAAAGCUGCCCUGACCACUAUAAAACACCUGGCAAUAAAUGUCUUGAUGAGAAGCAUUGUCUGAUGUGCAUCAUGGCUCGGUUAAAAGAGCUGUCUGAAGACCUGCGAUCAAGAAUUGUUGAUUUGUAUAAAGCUGGGAAAGGAUACAAAACCAUCUCUAAAAGUCUGGAUGUUCAUAAAUCGACAGUCAUCUACAAAAGGAGAGCGUUUGGCACUGUUGCUUCUCUCCCAAGGAGUGGCUGUACACCAAAGAUGACGCUGAGAGUACAGCGCAGCACAGAAUCCUCAGAGAGGUUAAAACGAACAUAAGAGUGUCUGCUAAAGACUUACAGAAAUCACUGGCACGGUCCAAUAUCUCUGUGCACACAUCAACUAUAUAUAGAACCAUGGCCAAGAAUGGUGUCCAUCAUGGGAGGAUUCCAUGGAAGAAGCCACUGUCUAAAAAAAACAAACAUUCUUGCUCGUUUAAUAUUCGCAAAAAGGCACUUGGAUCGUCCACAGAAGUUUUGGCAAAAUAUUUUGUGGACUGAUGAAACCAAAGUUCAAUUGUUUGGGAGUAACAUACAACGUCAUGUGUGGAGGAAAAAUGGAACAGCUCACCAACAUCAACACCUCAUCCCCACCAUGAAGCAUGGGGGAGAGAGCAUCAUGAUUUGGGGAUGUUUUGCUGCCUCAGGGCCUGGACAACUUGCAAUCAUUAAUGGAAGACUGAAUUCAAAAGUUUUGCAGGAAAACCUGAGGCCGUCUGUCAGACAGUUGAAGCUAAAAAGAGGGUGGAUGCUGCAACAAGACAAUGAUUAAAAACACAGAAGUAAAUCAACUGGUUUCACAAGAACAAAAUACAUGUUCUGGAGUGGCUGAGUCAAAGUCCAGACUUGAACCCCAUUGAGAUCCUGUGGCAUGACCUAAAGACAACGAGUCAUGCCAGACAUCACAUGAUUCUGACUGAACUACAGCAGUUUUGUAGAGAAGAUUAGUCCUGAUCGAUGUGCCAGACUGAUCUGCAGCUACAGGAAGCAUCUGGUUGAAGUAAUUGCUGCCAAAGGGGGGUGGUGGUACAAAAUAUUAAAUGUGUUGGUUCACUUAUUUAUUUUUCCCCCUUUUGUCAUUGUUUGCAAACUAUCCUCAUUAAAAUAUAAAAACCUAUAAAUGUUUGGGUGGUUUUAGUUAAAGCAGACACUGUUUUUUCAUCUGUGUGAUUUUGACAAAGAUCAGAUCACAUUUGAUAGCGAUUUUAUGCAGAAAUGUGAGAAAUUCCAAAAGGUUCAGAUACUUUUUCAUACCACUGUAUGCUGUUACGGACUUAACAUACUGUAUUGGGAUGCCCCACUGGAUGCUUUAAUCAUGAUAAAUGUAACAACUUCAAGGUUUUCGGAAUCACAGUCACAGUAAUCACACGUGAGCGAAGACUUCCGCCUUUGUAACGAAUGGGGAAAGGGUGAAGUGACGUAUGCCGUAGAGUAGGCAGCACAUUUGUAGUUUUUCUGUGUGGUGGGCAGGGUUCCUAUCACCCUCCUCCAGUUGGCAUAUUGCCAGUCAAAGUGAUACAGAGUGUCUGUCAUUCAACUACUUGGAAGUCCAUGUUUAAUCACAAAACUUAAGAAUAUGUUUCAUGAAGGUUAAAAAGUUAUGAAAUGUUGCCUUAACAGUUGUAUAGUACAGUGUUUUUCCACUAGUGUGCCAUGAGAGAUCGUAAGGUCACUCAGGUGUGCCGCGAGAAAUUAUUUCAAUAUUGCAUUCUUUUUAUUUUUUUGAUGAGCGAGGUAUUGCUCGUGUCGCGUUCAAGAACUGCCCGGAUUUCUAUCCAUCAGCCACCUUGCUUUCCGCGACAAUGUAGCCACACUUCGACUGUACAUUAUUUGAUUAGACUCGUCAAGUGUCGAUAUACAAGAAAGUGUCCUUUCCAUUUUCUCCAUAUGUGACGACCGUCAAUCCUCCCCCUGUAAUUUACUCCAACACAUUGUCGAGGACAGCAAGGUGGCUGAUGGCUAAAAAUCCGAGCGGUUCUUGAAUGCGACACGAGAAGCUAUCCAACAGUGCCGUGGUGCCAAGCAAGCAUAACCUUCAUCUCCAAACAACACAACCGUCGCUUCAAAACAAGUCGAUGUACUAUUUGGUUCGUCUUUGUGAAAACGCAGAGGCAACAAAAUGAGAAAGCCCUCAAAACCUUCUUGCUAAACUUGCUGCUAAAUCCAAAAAGUAGCACACUGUGGCAGAGACAUGAAUACUACCUGCCUGCAAAGCCAUUGUCAGAGAGAGAUGCUCGGCCCUGAUGCGGUUCGAGACAUUGCUAAAGUCCCCCUGUCUGGUAAUUCUGAGCUUUCCGACCCUGACUGCCUUCAAAAAUAAAAACGGGAGAGACACUGAGAGCUGUUGAAAAAGAUUCCUGCCAGGAUAUCGGCUUUGUGUUCAUCGAAAAAGGCUUAAGUUUCACACUGAGUAAGU